rnacentral:sRNA from 1 species
AUGGCCUCCUUAUCAAAUUACGCGAAAUGGGUAUAUCUGGAAAACUUUGGUCAAUCAUUAAUGAUUGCCAUACAAACACAACCAGUGCAAUUGUUGUCAAUCAAACCCAAUCAGACUGGUUUCCCGUGUCACAAGGUGUACGACAAGGUGGAGUUCUGUCAACCUAUUUAUAUCUUGUGUAUAUUAACGAACUUGUUGUUAACCUGGAAAAGUCCUGUACAAAUACUGGAAGUGGCGUUUUUCCUUCAAUGCUCAAAAAUCGUGCAUCCAAAAAUCCGCUCCAAAGGCUCCAAACUAGAUUUUGAUUAUAUAUGGAAACUUGGUGAUACAAUAAUUCCAUGUGCUGACAACUAUAAUCGCCUAGGCAUUAUUAUCAACAACAAACUUACACUCUCGGAUAGGAUUAUAACAGCUUGUAGAAAAGGACAAAAAUCAUAUUUUGCUCUGAACGAUAUAGGCUCCAACUAUCUUAACCCGCUUACUUUGUCACAUCUCUAUAAGACGAUCGUUCUUCCCACAGUCCUCUACGGUUGUGAAUUAUGGAGCAAUCUAUCUACCAACGAUCUUCAACGCCUAAAUGUUUUUCAACAUUUUGUUUGCAAAAAUGCACAAAAUCUUCCGACCAAAACAAGAUCCGAUAUCUGUGAAAGUGUUUUCAACGUUCUACCUAUCAAAUCGGAAAUAGAUAUCCGCAAACUCUUAUUUCUAGGCCGACUCUGUCUCAUGGAUCACCAGUCUCUUUCAAAGAAGAUAUUUUCAACACGCCUAUUUUCAUUCCUGGAGAACAUUUCCAAUAAACAGCGAGGGUUUAUUCCGGAUGUCAUCAAUAUUUUGUCCACUUACAACCUUACUGAAUACCUACAAACGUGGCUCCUUGAUUGCUCAUUUCCACCGAAACAGACUUGGAAAAAGAUAGUGAGAUCUACUGUAUCUAAGCUACACCAAACAAACCGUAACAUUAGAAUGAUAAAUGACAAUGAUUUUUACCGUUUCAAAGCAAUUAUCCAAAACCAAAACCCAAGUUUCAUCUGGUCUAUUCCGUCCAACUCAUACGAAAUAUCUCUUUGUAAAUUUAUCUGCAAGCUUAUAGCUUGCCCUCCGCAACAGACUCCCUUUAUCUGCCUACUAUGCAACACCAUGUUUGUAGACGUUUUUAAACAUAUCGCUUGUUCCUGCCCCUCUACUAAUGACUUACGUACAUACUGGUGGGAUCAGAUCACCAACUCCUUUGAUAUUCACCUCUCCGCGGACCUGUGUGCCAUGACUGAGGAUGAUAUAUUCUUCUUUCUCCUAGGUGGGAAAUACUUCACAUGGUUGUCAGAAAAAGAUCUACGUGCAGUUCGUAUACUUAACUUUCGUUACAUCCGAGACACUGCUGCACGCUAUAAUCAGACCCUUAAAUCUCAACCUAACCGAAUGUUAGCAGCAUAACCUGUGUACGUGUGUACCCCGUCCCCCGUGUAGGACCCCCCCCC